rnacentral:lncRNA from 1 species
GGGCUGGGUGAAGGAAGCAUCCAAUCCUCCAUCAAUGCUCUGCGGUUGUCAGUUCCGGCCAUGCUGGUGGUAAUUCUAACUCUGACUGAAACUUCUAAAGCAAAGUAGCAAACCCAUUGUUUUAGUUGAAACACUGAACAAUCUUGUUAAUAAAAUCAAACAGGCGAGGUGUUUCUUAUCAGCUGCGCAAAGGAAAAACAGGGUGCCACACAUGGAACAUGAUAGCAUAGCUGGAAAUAGAAACAGAAUUGACUGAAGAUCCAAGCACUCAUUUAACAUAUAAACACAUGAGCUCAGGAUAUGGACAGGUACAGAUGAAUGAGGAAAUGGGGCAACCUUUGCACAAAGAUACGUUACAACCAG